AUGUCAGCGCUUGAGAUUCUUCAAUUUGUUAUGGAUGUAAAUUGCUAUCUAGAUGUCUCUCUUGCCUAUUGGAUCCUCUCAACGGUGCAUGUGUCUAUAGCCUCACUUGAAAGAAGUUUCACUAAACUGAAACUAUUGAAAAAUUAUUUGAGGUCAACUAUGUUGCAAGACAGAUUGAAUGACUUGGCUAUGCACUGCAUUGAGAAGGAUACCUUGGCCAAUGUUGAUCUUGAUUGUGCCCUUAAUGACUUUGCAUCAAGAAACGCCCGUAGAAACUUUUUCUGA
rnacentral:rRNA from 1 species